CUGCGAGUCUAGGAUAUCACUUAUCAGUCUGCGAGUCUAGACGAGAAUCGACUGCUUAGGAUAUCAGUCUACGUUUUUGUAGGAAAAUAUCAUAGGCGGCGAUUUCCAGCUCGAUUCGAUUCCUCACUCCUCACAAAUUCCGGGCAAACGAAGUGUCGAAGACGCUGUUGUCCUGUUCCAGUGUUCCGAGCUCGAUUCAAUUUCAAUUUCAAAGAUAUGGAAAAUAAUGGAAGCACUACUAGCAUUGUUUGAUGUAUAGUUGCAACUUGCAUCUUGAGUGGUA